rnacentral:rRNA from 1 species
UACGUAGGGUGCAAGCGUUGUCCGGAAUUACUGGGCGUAAAGAGCUCGUAGGUGGUUUGUCGCGUUGUUCGUGAAAACUCACAGCUCAACUGUGGGCGUGCGGGCGAUACGGGCAGACUUGAGUACUGCAGGGGAGACUGGAAUUCCUGGUGUAGCGGUGGAAUGCGCAGAUAUCAGGAGGAACACCGGUGGCGAAGGCGGGUCUCUGGGCCGAUACUGACGCUGAGGAGCGAAAGCGUGGGGAGCGAACAGG